AUUGAACGCUGGCGGCAGGCCUAACACAUGCAAGUCGAGCGGAGCGGCGGACGGGUGAGUAAUGACUUGGAAUCUGCCUGGUAGCGGGGGAUAACGUCAGGAAACGGGCGCUAAUACCGAAUACUAUCAGAUGAGCCUAGGUCGGAUUAGCUAGUUGGUGGGGUAAAGGCCUACCAAGGCGAGGCUGCGUAACUGGUCUGAGAGGAUGAUCAGUCAGAGUGGAACUGAGACACGGUCAGGACUCCUACGGGAGGCAGCAGUGGGGAAUAUUGGACAAGGGGCGAAAGUAUGAUCCAGCCAUGCCGCGUGUGUGAAGAAGGUCUUCGGAUUGUAAAGCUCUGUGAGUUGAGCAGCGUUACCUACAAAGAAAGCACAGGCUAACUACGUGCCAGCAGCCGCGGUAAUUC
rnacentral:rRNA from 1 species